UACGUAGGGAGCAAGCGUUGUCCGGAAUCAUUGGGCGUAAAGCGCGCGUAGGCGGCCCUGUAAGUCCGCUGUGAAAGUCAAAGGCUCAACCUUUGAAAGCCGGUGGAUACUGCAGGGCUAGAGUCCGGAAGAGGCGAGUGGAAUUCCUGGUGUAGCGGUGGAAUGCGCAGAUAUCAGGAGGAACACCGGUGGUGUAGACGGCUCACUGGACCGUAACUGACGCUGAGACACGAAAGCGUGGGUAGCAAACAGG
rnacentral:rRNA from 1 species